UGGGGAAUUUUCCGCAAUGGGCGAAAGCCUGACGGAGCAAUACCGCGUGAGGGAAGACUGCCUAUGGGUUGUAAACCUCUUUUUUCAGGGAGGAAUAAAAUGACGUGUACCUGAAGAAUAAGCAUCGGCUAACUCCGUG
rnacentral:rRNA from 1 species